rnacentral:rRNA from 1 species
UACGUAGGGUGCGAGCGUUAAUCGGAAUUACUGGGCGUAAAGCGUGCGCAGGCGGCUUUUUAAGCCAGAUGUGAAAUCCCCGGGCUUAACCUGGGAACUGCAUUUGGAACUGGAAGGCUAGAGUGCGGCAGAGGGGGGUAGAAUUCCACGUGUGGCAGUGAAAUGCGUAGAGAUGUGGAGGAAUACCGAUGGCGAAGGCGGCAUCCUGGACCGAGAUUGACGCUGAUGCGCGAAAGCCAGGGGAGCAAACGGG